rnacentral:rRNA from 1 species
GAUGAACGCUAGCGGCAGGCCUAACACAUGCAAGUCGAGGGAGAAGCUUUCGGGGCAGAAACCGGCGCACGGGUGCGUAACGCGUAUGCAACCUACCUUUCACAGGGGGAUAGCCCGAAGAAAUUUGGAUUAAUACCCCAUAAUAUUAUUGGGUGGCAUCAUUUGAUAAUUAAAAUUACGAUGGUGAAAGAUGGGCAUGCGUCCUAUUAGCUAGUUGGAGUGGUAACGGCACCCCAAGGCUACGAUAGGUAGGGGUCCUGAGAGGGAGAUCCCCCACACUGGUACUGAGACAGGGACCAGACUCCUACGGGAGGCAGCAGUGAGGAAUAUUGGUCAAUGGUCGGAAGACUGAACCAGCCAUGCCGCGUGCAGGAAGAAUGCCUUAUGGGUUGUAAACUGCUUUUAUAUGGGAAGAAUAAGGAGUACG